rnacentral:rRNA from 1 species
AUUGAACGCUGGCGGCAGGCCUAACACAUGCAAGUCGAGCGAGCGGCGGACGGGUGAGUAAUGUAUGGGGAUCUGCCUGAUGGAGGGGGAUAACUACUGGAAACGGUAGCUAAUACCGCAUACCAUCAGAUGAACCCAUAUGGGAUUAGCUGGUAGGUGAGGUAAAGGCUCACCUAGGCGACGAUCCCGAGCUGGUCUGAGAGGAUGACCAGCCACACUGGGACUGAGACACGGCCCAGACGCCUACGGGAGGCAGCAGUGGGGAAUAUUGCACAAGGGGCGCAAGCCUGAUACAGCCAUGCCGCGUGUAUGAAGAAGGCCUUCGGGUUGUAAAGUACUUUCAGUCGGGAGGCGUUACCGACAGAAGAAGCACCGGCUAACUCCGUGCCAGCAGCCGCGGUAAUAC